rnacentral:rRNA from 1 species
UACGGAGGGUGCAAGCGUUGUCCGGAAUCACUGGGCGUAAAGGGCGCGUAGGCGGCUCAUUAAGUCUGUGGUGAAAGUCCGGGGCUCAACCUCGGAUCGGCCGUGGCGACUCGUGGGCUGGAGCACUGUAGAGGCGGGUGGAAUUCCGGGUGUAGCGGUGGAAUGCGUAGAUAUCAGGAGGAACACCGGUGGCGAAGGCGGGUCUCUGGGAAGUAACUGACGCUGAGAAGCGAAAGCAUGGGUAGCAAACAGG